rnacentral:rRNA from 1 species
GACGAACGCUGGCGGCGUGCCUAAUACAUGCAAGUCGAGCGAACAGAUGAGGAGCUUGCUCCUCCGACGUUAGCAGCGGAUGGGUGAGUAACACGUGGGCAACCUGCCCUGCAGAUGGGGGUAACUCCGGGAAACCGGGGCUAAUACCGAAUGAUCAGUUUGUUCGCAUGAACAAACUCUAAAAGACGGUUUCGGCUGUCACUGCAGGAUGGGCCCGCGGCGCAUUAGCUAGUUGGUGAGGUAACGGCUUACCAAGGCGACGAUGCGUAGCCGACCUGAGAGGGUGAUCGGCCACACUGGGACUGAGACACGGCCCAGACUCCUACGGGAGGCAGCAGUAGGGAAUCUUCCACAAUGGACGAAAGUCUGAUGGAGCAACGCCGCGUGAGCGAAGAAGGUUUUCGGAUCGUAAAGCUCUGUUGUGAGGGAAGAACAAGUAUAGGAGUAACUGCCUGUACCUUGACGGUACCUCAUUAGAAAGCCACGGCUAACUACGUGCCAGCCGCCGCAGUAAAAC